UACAGAGGGUGCGAGCGUUAAUCGGAAUGACUGGGCGUAAAGCGCGCGUAGGCGGUUAUACAAGUUGGGUGUGAAAUCCCUGGGCUCAACCUAGGAAUUGCAUUCAAAACUAUAUAGCUUGAGUGGGGUAGAGGUGAGUGGAAUUUCCGGAGUAGCGGUGAAAUGCGUAGAUACCGGAAGGAACACCAGUGGCGAAGGCGACUCACUGGACCUUAACUGACGCUGAGGUGCGAAAGCGUGGGGAGCAAACAGG
rnacentral:rRNA from 1 species